UUGUAGGCUUGUAGCACCGUUACAAAGUCUGGAUUUCAGAAAAGCUCGAUAAUUCAAAUAUCUGCUGUUGUUAGAAAUUUCAAUAAGAAAAAAAGAAAAAGAUAAGGCUGAUUUCAAGAAAUUUCAAAUCUGAAACAUAAAACAAACACCACAUCCGACCAUUAUAUUGGCAAUAAUCGUCAAACUUUAGUCUUGUGUCAGUUUUUGAGAUCUUGCCGAAAUGGGCUGAUAUUUGGAAAACCUUGAACAUAAAAAUAGCAUAUUUUGAUCAUCUUCCUUGUAAACUUAUUCCUACCACUGCAACAAAAAUCGUCGAGAUUUUGAAAAUCUCAUGAUAUUUUAGCAUGAAAUUAAUGAAACAAUGUUAUCACAAGAUUUUCAAAACACCAGCAUUUUUCUUUAUUUUUAUUUUAUUUUUUGCAAUUUGUCAUGAAAUUAUCCAGCUGUUAAUGUAAAGAAACAUUUAAAAUUUUGAAUAAUUAAGUUUAUAACAAUAUAUUUAAAAUUUGAAGUUAUUUAUUAAUUUAUAAUAAUAUUUAAAAAUUUUGGGUCUUGUGAUAUGGGACUUACAAAUUUACUAACUUAAAUAUUAACUUAAAUUAAACCGACUAAAUUGUGGAACCCACCGUCACUAAGUUACAAUCUAAAAAUCAGAUUGGUUGCACAAUCUUAACCUCUGAUUCACGGACACUUGUGUUUUGAAAUAAGACCAUUGGAUUAUUUAUUUAUUUAUUUUUUCAUUUUUAACCGUUCAAUAAAUGUCUUGCAAACAACAUCUAGAUUUCCAGAUUUGGUGAAUAUAGUUAAGGAAUCAUGUAAGCCUGCUGCCAUGACUUUCAUACUAGAUGCAGAGGUAGUUGCAGUGGAUAGAAAGAAUGGAAGCAAGCUGAUGGCCUUCCAACAACUAUCCUCACGAGAGAGAGGGACUAAAGAUUCCUCGAUUACAAUGGAUAGCAUAAAGAUAUGUCGUCGACUGCUUUUAUCGAGCCACUUCCAGUCAUUGAUUUUGUAACUCAGCUCUCGAAUGGUGAUGUCUUAGCCAGACCAUUAUCUGAUGCUGAUCGAGUGAAGAUUAAUAAGGCUCUUAGAGGUGUGAAGGUUGAGGUUACACACCUUAAAUAUACAGAGAUAUCCCAAAUACCAAAAGCAUUAGUUAAUGCAUGCAAGAAAGUAGCCUUAACAUAGGAGGAAAAAGUGCACAAAAGAUGUUCCAAUGUCGCACAAAUAAAAAUGCAAGUUAUUCUGACCAUGCCUCGAAAACAUUCCAAAAGUAUGCAGAGCAAGCGCAUGCAAUUCCUGGAAACUAUUCUUAAGUGCAUCAACAUGGUGAUUGACACUGGCUUUGUAGUUUGUCUUUGUUAAUGCUUGUGUCAGAAUGAAGUACCCUGAAACUUCAUUUUUCUUUGGUUGGAUGGUUCACCACAAUACUUACCACAAAGAUCCUUAUGCAAAGGAGUUUGGCAUCAAAAUCAGUGGGAAACUUGCUUCGGUUGAAGCACGCAUUUUACCUACACUCUGGCUUAAUUCCCAUGACACUGGUAGAGAAAAGGAUUGCUUGCCCCAAGUGGGUCAAUGGAAUAUGAUGAACAAGGAUUUGAUCAAUUGUGCUUUAAUUUAGGCCCACAAGCACAGAAGCCUUUUGACGCCACUUGUGCUAGGAGUGGACCACACAGAGGAGUUUUUUAAUGUAUUCAAGACCAUUUUCAACUUAUUGUUGU